GGAGCAAACGGGAUUAGAUACCCCGGUAGUCCUAGCCGUAAACGAUGGGCACUAAGUAGGGGGAACUACCGAUGUUCUCUCUGCCGUAGCAAACGCAUUAAGUGCCCCGCCUGGGGAGUACGGCCGCAAGGCUAAAACUCAAAAGAAUUGACGGGGGCUCGCACAAGCGGUGGAGCAUGUGGCUUAAUUCGAUGCAACGCGAAAAACCUUACCGGGGCUUGACAUGGUAGAAGUAGGAACCCGAAAGGGGGACCAACGGUAUCCAGUCCGUAACUAUUACAGGUGUUGCAUGGCUGUCGUCAGCUCGUGUCGUGAGACGUUGGGUUAAGUCCCCUAACGAGCGAAACCCUUGUUUUUAGUUACCAGCGGGUAAGCCGGGUACUCUAGAAAGACUGCCGUCGUUAAGACGGAGGAAGGUGGGGAUGACGUCAAGUCAUCAUGGCCCUUAUGCCCCGGGCUGCACACGUGCUACAAUGGUCGGUACAAAAGGAAGCUAAGCCGAGAGGUGAAGCGAAUCCAAGC
rnacentral:rRNA from 1 species